rnacentral:rRNA from 1 species
AACGCUAGCUACAGGCUUAACACAUGCAAGUCGAGGGGCAGCAUGGUCUUAGCUUGCUAAGGCCGAUGGCGACCGGCGCACGGGUGAGUAACACGUAUCCAACCUGCCGUCUACUCUUGGACAGCCUUCUGAAAGGAAGAUUAAUACAAGAUGGCAUCAUGAGUCCGCAUGUUCACAUGAUUAAAGGUAUUCCGGUAGACGAUGGGGAUGCGUUCCAUUAGAUAGUAGGCGGGGUAACGGCCCACCUAGUCUUCGAUGGAUAGGGGUUCUGAGAGGAAGGUCCCCCACAUUGGAACUGAGACACGGUCCAAACUCCUACGGGAGGCAGCAGUGAGGAAUAUUGGUCAAUGGGCGAGAGCCUGAACCAGCCAAGUAGCGUGAAGGAUGACUGCCCUAUGGGUUGUAAACUUCUUUUAUAAAGGAAUAAAGUCGGGUAUGCAUACCCGUUUGCAUGUACUUUAUGAAUAAGGAUCGGCUAACUCCGUGCCAGCAGCCGCGGUAAUACGGAGGAUCCGAGCGUUAUCCGGAUUUAUUGGGUUUAAAGGGAGCGUAGAUGGAUGUUUAAGUCAGUUGUGAAAGUUUGCGGCUCAACCGUAAAAUUGCAGUUGAUACUGGAUAUCUUGAGUGCAGUUGAGGCAGGCGGAAUUCGUGGUGUAGCGGUGAAAUGCUUAGAUAUCACGAAGAACUCCGAUUGCGAAGGCAGCCUGCUAAGCUGCAACUGACAUUGAGGCUCGAAAGUGUGGGUAUCAAACAGGAUUAGAUACCCUGGUAGUCCACACGGUAAACGAUGAAUACUCGCUGUUUGCGAUAUACAGCAAGCGGCCAAGCGAAAGCGUUAAGUAUUCCACCUGGGGAGUACGCCGGCAACGGUGAAACUCAAAGGAAUUGACGGGGGCCCGCACAAGCGGAGGAACGUGUGGUUUAAUUCGAUGAUACGCGAGGAACCUUACCCGGGCUUAAAUUGCAGAUGAAUUACGGUGAAAGCCGUAAGCCGCAAGGCAUCUGUGAAGGUGCUGCAUGGUUGUCGUCAGCUCGUGCCGUGAGGUGUCGGCUUAAGUGCCAUAACGAGCGCAACCCUUGUUGUCAGUUACUAACAGGUUCCGCUGAGGACUCUGACAAGACUGCCAUCGUAAGAUGUGAGGAAGGUGGGGAUGACGUCAAAUCAGCACGGCCCUUACGUCCGGGGCUACACACGUGUUACAAUGGGGGGGUACAGAGGGCCGCUACCACGCGAGUGGAUGCCAAUCCCCAAAACCUCUCUCAGUUCGGACUGGAGUCUGCAACCCGACUCCACGAAGCUGGAUUCGCUAGUAAUCGCGCAUCAGCCACGGCGCGGUGAAUACGUUCCCGGGCCUUGUACACACCGCCCGUCAAGCCAUGGGAGCCGGGGGUACCUGAAGUGCGUAACCGCGAGGAGCGCCCUAGGGUAAAACUGGUGACUGGG